AAUUCUCAACUCUACCAGUUUUCUGUGUAGAGCUUGGAUAUGGAGGUUGUGCAGAAUGCUCACGCGUACUGCUCCUCUCAAAUGGAUUAGCGAGUUCACUGGACUCCGUCUAUUGGUGUGAUAAUUAUCUACGCCGUGGAUUGGGUUUAGACUUGCUUCUAACCGUCCGCAAGGACAAUCUUUGACA
rnacentral:misc_RNA from 1 species